AAUCAACGCUGGCGGCGUGCCUAACACAUGCAAGUCGAACGCGGUUUUUCCGCAAGGGAAAACUGAGUGGCGAACGGGUGAGUAACACGUGGGUGACCUACCUUCGAGUGGGGGAUAACGUCCCGAAAGGGACGCUAAUACCGCAUAACAUCCUGCCUUUGAAGAGGUGGAGAUCAAAGCCGGGGACCGCAAGGCCCGGCGCUUGAUGAGGGGCCCGCGUCCGAUUAGCUAGUUGGUGGGGUAAUGGCCACCAAGGCAACGAUCGGUAGCCGGCCUGAGAGGGCGGACGGCCACACUGGGACUGAGACACGGCCCAGACUCCUACGGGAGGCAGCAGUGGGGAAUUGUUCGCAAUGGGCGCAAGCCUGACCGACGCAACGCCGCGUGGAGGAUGAAGGUCUUCGGAUUGUAAACUCUGUUGCCCGGGACGAAUGGCUCCAACCUAAUACGUUGGAGUGUGACGGUACCGGGUGAGGAAG
rnacentral:rRNA from 1 species